rnacentral:ncRNA from 1 species
UCCCACGCGGGAGGCUCUGACGCGCGGCUCACGCACUGGCCGCCGGGACCGCGCCGAGCCACUGGCGGGACCGACCCGCGAAGCG